ensembl:snRNA U2 U2 spliceosomal RNA
AUCGCUUCUCGGCCUUUUGGCUAAGAUCAAGUGUAGUAUCUGUUCUUAUCAGUUUAAUAUCUGAUACGUCCUCUAUCCGAGGACAAUAUAUUAAAUGGAUUUUUGGAGCAGGGAGAUGGAAUAGGAGCUUGCUCCGUCCACUCCACGCAUCGACCUGGUAUUGCAGUACCUCCAGGAACGGUGCACUCUCC